UACGUAGGGCGCAAGCGUUGUCCGGAAUUAUUGGGCGUAAAGAGCUCGUAGGCGGCUUGUCACGUCGGUUGUGAAAGCCCGGGGCUUAACCCCGGGUCUGCAGUCGAUACGGGCAGGCUAGAGUGUGGUAGGGGAGAUCGGAAUUCCUGGUGUAGCGGUGAAAUGCGCAGAUAUCAGGAGGAACACCGGUGGCGAAGGCGGUCUCUGGGCAGUACUGACGCUGAGGAGCGAAAGCGUGGGGAGCGAACAGG
rnacentral:rRNA from 1 species